rnacentral:misc_RNA from 1 species
UGUGAUGGGAACUCAAAUUGGAGUACACCCAAAAGGAAAGAUAUGCCUUGGUAUACAAAUAUGCUAGAAUGCAACUGCACUUUUCUUGAUAAUCUUUGUCAUGUGGAAAAUAUAUCUCUCAUAGGGCAGGAUCUUGCAGGUGUCCUACCUGCAUCUCUGGCGAAGUUACCAUACCUGAGGAAAAUUGAUCUCAACCGCAACUACUUAAAUGGUACAAUUCCCCCUGAAUGGGCGUCUACCAAGUUGGAGAUCAUGGCUAUUUCUAAUAAUCGGUUAUCUGGGCAUGUCCCUGAGUACAUAGGAAAUAUGACCUCGCUUGUGAGAUUGAGUUUGGAGACUAACUUGUUUAAUGGAUCGUUACCAGCAGAAGUAGGGAAUCUGGUCAAUUUAGAGAUGCUCAAUCUGAAAGCUAAUAAUUUCACAGGAGAGUGGCCAGUGGAACUGAAUAAUCUUACUAAAUUGGAUGAACUUAGGAUAACCAGUAACAGCUUUGUUGGGAAACUGCCUAACUUUGAGAGUUGGAAAAACCUCCGGAAGCUAGAAAUUGAAGGUUCUGGAUUUGAAGGACCACUACCCCCAAGUUUUUCUGUUUUGAGCAGUUUGGAAGAACUAAGAAUCAGUGACCUCAACGGAGGUGCUUCAGAAUUUCCAUCACUUACAAACUUGACGAGUAUGACUAAAUUGGUUUUGAGAAGCUGUAAUAUACAUGGAAAUAUUCAUGAUUCUGUAGCUGAAAUGGUCAACUUACGGUUUUUAGAUCUAAGUUUCAACAAUCUUGAAGGAGGAAUUGCAAAUCUCGAGCACGUGACUCAGAUGGAGGCCACGUAUCUGACUGGCAAUGCUUUUGUUGGACAAAUUCCAAAUUGGCUUACUAGUCGAGAUACCAGAAAUGUGAUAGACCUUUCCUACAAUAAAUUUGAUGAAAGCUCUGAACCAGGUUCCUGUCGGGACAACCUAAACUUAUUCAGAAGCUUCAAGGUCGAGAAUUUUGUAGAGCGCGGGAAGUGCUUCUCAGCCAGUCCGUGUUCAGAGGACAAGUACUCAUUGCACAUAAAUUGUGGUGGAGGAAACGUAACUGUUGGAAACACUACUUAUAUAGCAGAUGAAGACUCCGCAGGUGCUGCAAAAUUUGUUUACUGGAAAGGGAACUGGGGAACCAGCAGUACAGGGCAUUUCUGGGAUACCGACGUAUCGUUGGAUGACCACAAAGCAAAAAAUGUAUCUGCUAUCAAGGGAGAUGAAUCUCAACUUUACAUGACAGCUCACCUCUCCCCUUUAUCUAUGACUUACUUUGGACGUUGCUUAGCAAAUGGAAACUACACUUUGACACUUCAUUUUGCAGAAAUAGUUUACAGAGACAACCAAUCUUUCCGAAGUCUUGGAAAACGGAUAUUUGA